rnacentral:misc_RNA from 1 species
GAUGAAGAACGCAGCGAAAUGCGAUAAGUAGUGUGAAUUGCAGAAUUCAGUGAAUCAUCGAAUCUUUGAACGCACAUUGCGCCCCUUGGUAUCCCGAGGGGCAUGCCUGUUCGAGCGUCAUUUCAACCCUCAAGCUCUGCUUGGUAUUGGGCUCCGUCCUCCUCGGACGCGCCUCAAAGACCUCGGCGGUGGCGUCUUGCCUCAAGCGUAGUAGAAACACCUCGCUUUGGAGUGCAUGGCGUCGCCCGCCGGACGAAACCUUUUGUAUUUUCUCAAAGGUUGACCUCGGAUCAGGUAGGGAUACCCGCUGAACUUAAGCAUAUCAAUAAGCGGAGGA